AAACCAAGUGGUUAACAAUACAUAAUUUCGAACCACAAAAAAAUUGAAAUUAAGAAAAAAUGAAAUCGGUUGUAUUUUUUUUUAUUAUUCUUAGCUUAUUUGGUGCAGGAUCCACAUCUGCAUUUAAGGGUUCCCCUAUGGAUUCCAACCAUGCGGUUGAUGUUCGUAAAUUUUGUACAAUUGGUUGUGCUGUUUCUCUCUGCACCAAUAUUUCCACCCCAGAAAACCUAAAUGUAGACAAAGUACAAAGUUGUUGGAACGGGUGUGAUCAAACGUGCAUGAAGUACUGAUACUAAAGAAAAGAAGAUAAAGUAUACCGAAAGGAGAAAGGAACAUGGAUUGGCUUUUAAAGAUAUAAUAUAUAUGAAUAAACAAAAAUUAAUUGGUGAAAAUUCAAACCAUUGGUUUGAAAGCUUAUUAUUUUAUAUUUAAGCAUGUGUAAAAAACAACACUUUUUCUCUUUUUAUGCUAUACGAGAAUUAUGUGUUUUGCAAGAAUUUUUGCCUUACUAUAAAUUCUGUGUGUGUUUGUGGUGGAUUUGGUGAUCAAAGGUUAAUAAUCUCACAAACAAAAUUUUAUUU